UAUCACUUUUUCGUUUUUAGG
rnacentral:piRNA from 1 species